rnacentral:rRNA from 1 species
GACGAACGCUGGCGGCGUGCCUAAUACAUGCAAGUUGAGCGCUGAAGGCUGGUACUUGUACCAACUGGAUGAGCAGCGAACGGGUGAGUAACGCGUGGGGAAUCUGCCUUUGAGCGGGGGACAACAUUUGGAAACGAAUGCUAAUACCGCAUAAAAACUUUAAACACAAGUUUUAAGUUUGAAAGAUGCAAUUGCAUCACUCAAAGAUGAUCCCGCGUUGUAUUAGCUAGUUGGUGAGGUAAAGGCUCACCAAGGCGAUGAUACAUAGCCGACCUGAGAGGGUGCUCGGCCACGUUGGGACUGGGACACGGCCCAACCUCCUACGGGAGGCAGCAGUAGGGGAUCUUCGGCGAUGGCCGCAAGUCUGACCGAGCAACGCCGCGUGAGUGAAGAAGGUUUUCGUGUCGUAAAACUCUGUUGGUAGAGAAGAACGUUGGUGAGAGUGGAAAGCUCAUCAAGUGACGGUAACUACCCAGAAAGGGACGGCUAACUACGUG